rnacentral:rRNA from 1 species
CCUACGGGAGGCAGCAGUGAGGAAUAUUGGUCAAUGGGCGCGAGCCUGAACCAGCCAAGCCGCGUGAAGGUCAGUGCCCUUUGGGCGUUAAACUUCUUUUGUGCGGGAGCAAUAAUGGUCACGUGUGGCCAGACGAGAGUACCGUACGAAUAAGCAUCGGCUAACUCCGUGCCCGCAGCCGCGGUAAUACGGGGGAUGCAAGCGUUAUCCGGAUUUAUUGGGUUUAAAGGGUGCGUAGGCUGUGAGGUAAGUCAGCGGUGAAAUGCCCCCGCUCAACGGGGUGAAGUGCCAUUGAUACUGCCUUGCUGGAAUGCGGAUGCCGUGGGAGGAAUGUGUGGUGUAGCGGUGAAAUGCAUAGAUAUCACACAGAACACCGAUUGCGAAGGCAUCUCACGAAUCCGCGAUUGACGCUGAUGAACGAAAGCGUGGGUAUCAAACAGGAUUAGAUACCCCAGUAGUC